rnacentral:rRNA from 1 species
ACGACUCUCGGCAAUAGACAUCUCGGCUCUCACAUCGAUAAAGAAUGUAGCAAAAUGUGAUACUUGGUGUGAACUGUAGAAUCUCGUGAAUCGUAGAAUAUUUGAACGCAAGUUGCGCCCAAAGCCAUUAGGCCGUGGACACGUCUCCUUGGGCGUCACACAUUGUGUUGCCCCCUCGCUUCGCGCUUCAAUCAUGGGGCACGCUAUUUUCAUAGGGCAGAUACUGGCCUCCCGUGCACCUCGAGCUCGCGACUGGCCUAAAUAUAUGUCCAUAUCGAAGGAUGUCAUGGCAAUUGGUGGUUGUAUCUCAACUCUCUUUGUUAUCGCAGCUAUAGCUUAUCGCGCGUCCGGACUCCAGGACCAUUUCAUACUUAAGCACUUCGACCUCAACCCUAGGUCAGGCGGGAUUACCCGCUGAGUUUAGGCAUAUCAAUAAGUAGAGAAAAAGAAACUUAAAAGAAUUCACUUAGUAAUGGCGAGCAAACUGGGAACUACCCAGCUUUAGAAUCGGGCAGCUCCAUCGUCCGAAUUGCAGUUUGGAGAAGCGUCCUCAGCGGCGGACCGGGACUAAGUCCCCCGGAAGGGGGCACCAGAGAGGGUGAGAGCCCUAUUGUGCUCAGACCCUCUUACACUAUGAGGCAGUGUCUACGAGUCGGGUUUGUUUAGGAAUGCAGCCCAAAUUGGGUGGUGAAUUCCGUCCAAGGCAAAAUACGGGUGACAGACCGAUAGCGAACAAGUACUUCGAGGGAAAGACGAAAAAGACUUUAAAACACGAGUCAAAGAGUGCUUGAAAUUAUUGAGAAGGAAGCGGAUGGGGGCUAGCGAUGUGCCCCGGUCGGAUGUGGAAAGGCGACGAGCAAGUCCGCCGAUCGACUCUUGAUACGCUCGUGGAAUGCUGUCUCCUCGAUUGUGGCAGCCAGUGCGUGCCUCCGGCAUGCUUUGGCAUGUAUGCGCUACGGACGCUUGCCUGUGGUCUCCCCAUUGACCCAUCUUAAAAAAGGGACCAAGAAGUCUGACAUGUGUGCGAGUCAACGGACGAGUAAACCCGUAAGGCGUAAGGAAGCUGAUUGGUUGUAUCCCCCCGAGGGGUGCACCGUCGACCAACCUUGAUCUUCUGAGAAGGGUUUGAGUGUGAGCAUACCUGUCGGGACCCAAAAGAUGGUGAAGUAUGCCGGAGCAGAGUAAAGCCAGAGGAAACUCUGUUGGAGGCCCGCAGCGAUACUAACGUUUCAAUCGUUCGUCUGACUUGGGCGUAGGGCCUGCGGAUGCUUUGUCAAGACGUACCACAGAAUCAAGAGCUCCAAGUGGACCAUAUUUGGUAAGCAGAACUGGCGAUACAGGAUGAACUAAAAGCCAGGUUAUGGUGCAAAACUGUGCGGUAACCUAGAUCCCACAAAGGAUGUUGGUCGAUUAAGACAGCAGGACGGUGGCCAUGUAAAUCAAAAUUCGUUAAGGAGUGUGUAAAAACUCACUUUCCAAAUGAACUAGCCCCAAAAAUGGAUGGCAUUAAGCGCAGACCUAAACCUGGCCAUCGGGGAAAGUUCCAGGCCCCGAUGAGUAGGAGGGCCCGGCGGUCGCUGGAAAACCUUGGGCGCAAAUCCGGGCGAAGCGAUCGUCGGUUCAGAUAUUAGUGGUACUAGCAAAUAUUCAAAUGAGAACUUUGAAGGUCGAAGAGAGGAAAGGUUCCAUGUGUACAGCACUUGUACAUGGAUUAGUCGAUCCUAAGAGUCGGGAGAACCCCGAUAGAUAGUGCAUUUCUCAUGUACUCCAAAAGGGAAUUGGGUUAAAAUUCCUAGAUAGGGACGUGGCAGUCGACGACAAUGUUAAGAAGUCCGAAGACGUCAGCGGGAGCCUCGGUAAGAGUUGUCUUUUCUGUUUAAAAGCUUUCCUUCCCUGGAAUCGGCUUAGCUGGAGGUAGGGUCCAGCGGCUGGAAGAGCACCGUACGUCACGUGGUGUCCGGUGUACUACCGGCGGUCCUUCAAAAUCUAGAGCACCAAAUUUCAUCCAUACCCAGUUGUACUCAUAACCAUAUCAAGUCUCCGAGGGGAACAACCUCUGGUAGAUGGAACAAUGUAGGCAAGGGAAGUCGGCAAAAUGUAUUCGUAACUUCUGGAAAAGGAUUGGCACUAAGGGCUGGGCACGAGGGUCCCAAACCCGUCGGCUGUCAGUGGACUAGUCGAGCUGCUCCCACAGUAAGAUCGGGUCGCCGCAUGCCGGUCAGGGGACGGACUAAGAAUGGUUCCUUUAGGGGCCUUCCCAGCGCGUCGAACAGCCAACUCAGAACUAGUAUGGACAAGGGGAAUCCGACUAUUUAAUUAAAACAAAGCAUUGCGAUGGUCCCAAAGAAUGUUCACGAAUUGUGAUUUUUACCCAGUGCUCUGAAUGCCAAAGUGAAGAAAUUCAACCAAGCAUGGGUAAACGGCGGGAGUAACUAUUACUCUCUUAAGGUAGCCAAAUGCCUCGUCAUCUAAUUAGUGAUGCGCAUAAAUGGAUUAAUGAGAUUCCCACUAUCCCUGUCUACUAUCCAGCGAAACCACAGACAAGGGAACUCUUCUCCGACUUUGUGAAAUGAAUUGAGAGGUGUAGUAUAAGUGGGAGCCGAAAGGCGAAAGUGAAAUACCACUACUUUUAAGAUUAUUUUACUUAUUCCGUGAUUUGAAAGCGGGGCACUGCCCUUUUUUUUGGACCCAAGGCUCACUCUGCAGGCUGAUCUGGGAGGAAGACACUGUCAGGUGGGGAGUUUGGCUGGGGCUUCACAUCUGUUAAAAUAUAACGCAGGUGAGAACAGAAAUAUCGUGUGGAACAGAAGGAUAAAAUUUCGUUUGAUUUUGAUUUCCAGUACGAAUAUGAACCAUGAAAGCAUGGCCUAACGAUCCUUAAGACCUUCGAAAUUCGAAGCUAGAGGUGUUAGAAAAAUAUUACCACAGGGAUAACUGGCCUGUUGCAGCCAAGCGUUCAUAGCGACGUUGCUUUUUCAUCCUUCGAUGUCGGCUUUUCCUAUUAUUGCGAAGCAGAAUUCACCAAGUAUUGGGUUGUUCACCCACCAAUAGCGAACGUGAGCUGGGUAUAGACCGUCGUUAGACAGGUUAUUUUACCCUACUUAUGACAGUAUCCCAGUAGCAAUUCAACCUAGUGGGAGAGGAAACAUUGAUUCACAUAAUUUGUCAUCGUGCUUGGUUGAAAAGCCAGCGGCGAAAAGCUACCGUGUGCUAGAUUAUGAAUGAACACCUCUAAGUCAGAAUCUGGCCUAGAAGUGAUGCAUGCGCCCUCUGUCUGAUUGACGACCCGCAGUAGCGGCCUUGGCCCCCAAGGGCACGUGUCGUUUGCUAUGCCAUCGCGGCGGAAGAGUCGCGGUGGCUUCCUUGAAGUAUAAUUUCCAUCAAACGGAGAGUAGAAUCCUUUGCAAACGACUUAACUAUGCAACGGGGUAUUAUAAGUGGAAGAGUGGCCUUGCUGCCACGAUCCACUGAGAUUUAUCCGUCUGUCGCUCUGGUUCGU